UGGGGAAUAUUGGACAAUGGGCGAAAGCCUGAUCCAGCCAUGCCGCGUGUGUGAAGAAGGUCUUCGGAUUGUAAAGCACUUUAAGUUGGGAGGAAGGGCAGUAAGCGAAUACCUUGCUGUUUUGACGUUACCGACAGAAUAAGCACCGGCUAACUCUGUGCCAGCAGCCGCGGUAAUACAGAGGGUGCAAGCGUUAAUCGGAAUUACUGGGCGUAAGGCGCGCGUAGGUGGUUCGUUAAGUUGAAUGUGAAAGCCCCGGGCUCAACCUGGGAACUGCAUCCAAAACUGGCGAGCUAGAGUAGGGCAGAGGGUGGUGGAAUUUCCUGUGUAGCGGUGAAAUGCGUAGAUAUAGGAAGGAACACCAGUGGCGAAGGCGACCACCUGGGCUCAUACUGACACUGAGGUGCGAAAGCGUGGGGAGCAAACAGG
rnacentral:rRNA from 1 species